rnacentral:lncRNA from 1 species
CCUAAAUGCACAACUCCUAAUGAAUGCAAAUUAGAAACUACUUUCUAAUUUUAUUCCACAUUGGCCAAAAAUUCCUGGGUUGUCAUUUAUCUAAUCAUAUAGGACAUAACUCUUCUUUUACUAGAAGUGGUAUAUUCUUUAUUGAUCAUUCAUUAUCUCCAUAUAUAACUUAUUACACUCAAGCAUACCAUUUGAUAUACCCUAAGGGUCUUAAGGAAUAAGUC